AAGCUAAUGUGCCUGUAUGCCGUGAGUGGUUGAAUCUAAUAUUAUCUUAUAUUAUGGAUAUGGUUUGAACUUUGCAGCAUGUGCUGAUCUUACGAAAACCUAUGAAUAUGGUUUGAACUUUGCAUAAUGUGCUGAUCUUACGAAAACCUAUCUUUAUAAGAAUGUUGCUGGAAAAUCAAUCUUUAUCUUGUAUAUGCGUUAACCUGAUGAAGUGCAGUGGUUUUAUUGUUGCAUUAUGGCUUCACAAAAGCUUCUCUUUCAAUUUAACGGUGCCAUGCAUUAUGAUCAUUCAUAGAGAUGAUAAUUGUUUGGAUGAUAUUCGGUUUGAUUUUUUGGAUAAUAUAUAAUAUUAUGAAUUUUUAAAAUUCAAUCUAACUUUUCUUUGAAACUGAUCUGAUUUGAAUUAAAUUUUACUGAUUUAAUUCAUUAGUUUUUGAAAUUUAGUUUUUUUUGUUUUUAUAUAUUAUUUUCAUAUGUUUAAGUAUAAAAUAAUUAUUUUAUUUUAUAAAAGGUUAAAAUAAAUGUAAAAAUUAACAAAAUUAUAUAAUUAAGUGUGGUUUGACUUUUCUUUUUUUAUUUGAAAGUUGAUUUAAAUUUAAUUUAUAUAUUUAAUAUUUAAAUUUAAUUUGAAUGAGGAAAAUCAAUUCGAAACGAAUUAUUUAGAAUUAGUUUGAUUUCAAUAUUACGAUUUUGAAUUAGCCAUCUGAGCCACAUGGAGCCAGAUCACUCUUGAAGCUAAUGUGGCUGUGUUUCGUGAGUGGUUGAAUCUAAUAUUAUCUUUUAUUAUGAAUAUGGUUUGAACCUUGCGUCAUGUGCUGAUCUUACUCAUGCUUUCUGGACAACCUAUCUUUAUGAUAAGAAUGUCGCUGGAAAAUCUAUCUUUAUCUUGUAUACGUGUUAACCUGAUGAAAUGCAGCGGUUUUAUUGUUGCAUUAUUGCUUCACAAAAGCUUCUCUUUCAAUUUAACAGUGCCAUGGAUUAUGAUCAUUCAUAUGGUAUCAACGUACCUAUCAACGGUUCGGAAUUGAACUCGAUUUAGUUUUUCAGAUAAUAUGAAUAAUAUAUAAUAUUAUGAAUUUUAUAAACUUGAUCUAAUUAUUUUUUAAAAUUGAUUUGAUCUGAAUUAAAUUUUAUUGGUUUAGUUUCUUUCAUCGAUUUUUAAAUUCAAUUUUGUUUAUUUUUUAUAUAUUAUUUUUAUGUAAUUUUUAUAUAUUUAAAU
rnacentral:lncRNA from 1 species